CCUACGGGUGGCUGCAGUGGGGAAUAUUGGACAAUGGGCGAAAGCCUGAUCCAGCCAUGCCGCGUGUGUGAAGAAGGCCUUCGGGUUGUAAAGCACUUUCAGUGGGGAAGAAAGCCUUGGGGCUAAUACCCUCGAGGAAGGACAUCACCCACAGAAGAAGCACCGGCUAACUCCGUGCCAGCAGCCGCGGUAAUACGGAGGGUGCGAGCGUUAAUCGGAAUUACUGGGCGUAAAGCGCGCGUAGGCGGUCUGAUAAGCCGGUUGUGAAAGCCCCGGGCUCAACCGGGAACGGCAUCCGGAACUGUCAGGCUAGAGUGCAGGAGAGGAAGGUAGAAUUCCCGGUGUAGCGGUGAAAUGCGUAGAGAUCGGGAGGAAUACCAGUGGCGAAGGCGGCCUUCUGGACUGACACUGACGCUGAGGUGCGAAAGCGUGGGUAGCAAACAGGAUUAGAUACCCGUGUAGUC
rnacentral:rRNA from 1 species